UCAAAUAUACAAAUCAGAAAUUUGUUUCUCUUUAGCACCGGUUCUCGUCCGAUCACCGAAGUUAAGCAACAUCGAGCCUAGUUAGUACUUAGAUGGGUGACCGCUUGGGAAACCUAGGUGCUGUAAGCA
rnacentral:rRNA from 1 species